rnacentral:rRNA from 1 species
UACGUAGGGCGCAAGCGUUGUCCGGAUUUAUUGGGCGUAAAGAGCUCGUAGGCGGUUUGUCGCGUCUUCCGUGAAAACUGGGGGCUUAACUUCCAGCUUGCGGUGGAUACGGGCUGACUGGAGUGCGGCAGGGGAGACUGGAAUUCCUGGUGUAGCGGUGAAAUGCGCAGAUAUCGGGAGGAACACCGGUGGCGAAGGCGGUUCUCUGGGCCUACCUGACGCUGAGGCGCGAAGGCUAGGGGAGCAAACGGG